GGGCUUGUGGUUUAGUGGUAUAAUUUUCCCUUAGCAUAUCAGCUGUGCUUCCACCAGUGCUUGAUUUCGUGGGAAAGGUCCUGGGUUCGAUUCCCAGCAAGUCCA